CACCGCCUACGGGGGGCAGCAGUGGGGAAUAUUGCACAAUGGGCGCAAGCCUGAUGCAGCGACGCCGCGUGCGGGAUGGAGGCCUUCGGGUUGUAAACCGCUUUUGUUCAAGGGCAAGGCACGGUCUUUGGCCGUGUUGAGUGGAUUGUUCGAAUAAGCACCGGCUAACUACGUGCCAGCAGCCGCGGUAAUACGUAGGGUGCAAGCGUUAUCCGGCUUUAUUGGGCGUAAAGGGCUCGUAGGCGGUUCGUCGCGUCCGGUGUGAAAGUCCAUCGCUUAAGGGUGGAUACGCGCGGGGUACGGGG
rnacentral:rRNA from 1 species